CCCUUAGAUGUCCUGGGCCGCACGCGCGCUACACUGACAUGUUCAACAAGCCUCCUAGUUCGACAGGAUUUGGGAAAUCUUUGAACGCAUGUCGUGAUAGGGAUAGAUCAUUGCAAUUAUUGAUCUUGAACGAGGAAUUCCUAGUAAACGCGAGUCAUCAGCUCGCAUUGAUUACGUCCCUGCCCUUUGUACACACCGCUCGUCGCACCUACCGAUUGAAUGUUUCGGUGAAGAUUCCGGAUAGGACUUUUUUGAUUUAUUUCAAUUUUGUCUUAAAAGCUAUCUAAACCUCAACAUUUAGAGGAAGGUGAAGUCGUAACA
rnacentral:rRNA from 1 species